rnacentral:rRNA from 1 species
UACGUAGGGGGCAAGCGUUGUCCGGAAUUAUUGGGCGUAAAGAGCGUGUAGGCGGUCCGGUAAGUCAGUUGUGAAAGCCCGGGGCCCAACCCCGGAAUUGCAUCUGAAACUGCCUGGCUGGAGUCCCGGAGAGGAAGGCAGAAUUCCCGGUGUAGGGGUGAAAUCCGUAGAUAUCGGGAGGAAUACCAGCGGCGAAGGCGGCCUUCUGGACGGUGACUGACGCUGAGACGCGAAAGCGUGGGGAGCAAACAGG